rnacentral:lncRNA from 1 species
CCUUUCUGGUGAAGAAUUUAAAAUAGUGUUGUAAAGAGACAGCUCAAAUUCAGAAAUAAACUAUCAAAAAGAAAGCACUUGAAAAAUAAGUGUUACAAUGUUUUAUGAUGGUACUGUUUAUUUCUCGAAUGUCCAUAAUAUCCGACAGUGCAGAGCCCUCGUUAUGACAAACCAAAUCUCUACAAACAAUAUUGUAAUAGAAAAGAACACUAGUUAUCCUGGAUGUCAGAAGACACUUCGUUGUCUGUGUCAUUCUAGCGGAUCUGGUCUUCAUACAGAUUCUCAACUUUGUAAGAAAAAAAAUAUGGCUGGAUGUAAUAUAUAUAUUUGUGUUGUUCAAUACGUCACAUUGUUAAUGUCUUAACACAUAUUUAUGUUCUCCAACUAUUGUAUUAGAUUUAAAUCAUCAAACCAUGACGAUGAAUUGUCACAUUAUGUAUCGCUUACAUUCUAUUUUCCAUAACUUAGUGAACGUAAAGAACAACAAAUUGGUAGAUUCAACACAAUGAUAAAAC